GCCUCUUGCCCAAAUAUAAGAGGUCCAGCCUGCCCAGUGACAUAGUUUAACGGCCGCGGUACCCUAACCGUGCGAAGGUAGCAUAAUCACUUGUUCUUUAAAUAAGGACUCGUAUCAACGGCAUCACGAGGGCUGUACUGUCUCCUUUCUCCAAUCAGUGAAACUGAUCUCCCCGUGAAGAAGCGGGGAUUGACCUAUAAGACGAGAAGACCCCAUGGAGCUUUAAACCCAACACACACCCCUACGCACCCAAACCAAUACAGCCCAAGAGACUUGUGUGUUGGUUUUAGGUUGGGGGGACCGCGGAGUAAAAUCAAACCUCCAUGACAGACGGGCUAAUACCCUUAUCCAUGAACCACAAUUCUAAGAGCCAAUAAAUUGUUGUCUAAUGACCCAAUUACUUGAUCAACGAACCAAGUUACCCUGGGGAUAACAGCGCAAUCUACUUCAAGAGCCCCUAUCGACAAGUAGGUUUACGACCUCGAUGUUGGAUCAGGGUAUCCUAGUGGUGCAGCCGCUACUAAAGGUUCGUUUGUUCAACGAUUAAAACCCUACGUGAUCUGAGUUCAGACCCGGA
rnacentral:rRNA from 1 species